GAUAUGUCCCUUACCCAAAGAAAAGGUUAAAGGCCAUCUUUUAACAGAGCUUCCCAGCCAAUCAGUCUUCACAGAGAGCUGGUACAAGGAAUUAUCUCACAGAGGAUAUGUAUUAUGAGUAGCCGGAAACUUCCUACACUGGUCAGUUUUCUUUCUCCACACUCCUCACCAAUCCCUCAGUAGCAUGUUUUUGGUGACAUGACUGGAUGUAAAAAUUGUUCUUCUUUUCUGGAAACGUCAGGUGAAGCAGCUGGAGUUCUUUCGUCAUCAGAAUCUCUUCCAUGGCGCUGGAGUGAGCCUGUUAUUCACUGUCCUGGUUUUCCCUAUAAGGAUAGAUCACAGAAGGCUCAUUUGAAAAUAUCUGGGGACCACCGGCCAGGAAGAUGGAUAUGUUGGCACCCCCCCCUUGGGAUCUCGGCAUUUAUGUUUUACCUUUCAGUCUCCCCAACCUCAUCGUUUGAUGAUGGAGGCUGACCAGUCCCAACAUGAACAGUCACCAACCUGCAGACCUAGGAGAACUGAUUGCUAAGUUCAGGUCCCCAAACCCAGAAGCUUAAGACUCAGGAAAAGCCAUUCAAAGGUAAGACCACAGCCCAGUUUAGACAAUCAGGAUCCAAUGGGAUUAUUGAGCUAUUCAAUCUUCAACUGAGUUCGUGAAGCCCACCCAGGUAGGGAGGAAAUUCGGAUUUACUCAGGCUACUAACUCAGAUAUUCUUCUCCAUCAGAGACACCACCACAGACACACCCAGAAAAACGUGUGACUGAAUGUCGGGACAUCCUAGUGGAGGUGACGUACAAAACAUGCCAUUGCAGAGAGGUGGUUCUUUCUAACAGGCACACCAGCACCUGCAUAUCAAAUAUCUAUUUUAUCUUUUUUUUUAAAACUACCAGUUCCAUAAACUGUACAGUUCUAAUAAUAACGGCUGGCCUUCUUCACUGA
rnacentral:lncRNA from 1 species